rnacentral:rRNA from 1 species
AACGAACGCUGGCGGCAUGCCUAACACAUGCAAGUCGAACGAGACCUUCGGGUCUAGUGGCGCACGGGUGCGUAACGCGUGGGAAUCUGCCCUCAGGUACGGAAUAACUCAGGGAAACUUGAGCUAAUACCGUAUAAUGACUUCGGUCCAAAGAUUUAUCGCCUGAGGAUGAGCCCGCGUCGGAUUAGCUAGUUGGUGAGGUAAAAGCUCACCAAGGCGACGAUCCGUAGCUGGUCUGAGAGGAUGAUCAGCCACACUGGGACUGAGACACGGCCCAGACUCCUACGGGAGGCAGCAGUGGGGAAUAUUGGACAAUGGGCGAAAGCCUGAUCCAGCAAUGCCGCGUGAGUGAUGAAGGCCUUAGGGUUGUAAAGCUCUUUUACCCGGGAUGAUAAUGACAGUACCGGGAGAAUAAGCCCCGGCUAACUCCGUGCCAGCCGCCGCAGUAAAAC